AGUGUAGGACGUAAAGUAAAGUGCAGCCCUUAAGUUUACGUCCUACACUCAUUUGAAUGAGUAUUAAGUAUUCGAGUAGGCCUAUAUUCGAUAUAAGUAGGCUAUCAAGUUUGUAUCAUUUGUGUAACCUUAGAAAUGGUAAAUUUUCUUGUAAAGCUUGGAGCAUUGCAAAUGUUUGGUGUUAAUGUAUGAGAGUACUUCACAUGUAAACAAUAUUGAUGAAGUUGUCUGCUUAUUUGGAGCCAAAUAAGAAGGAGAGAAAUUUUCUUGGAAAAGAAUCGAAAGCAAUAAAGAUAAGAUAUCAUGACAGAAGAAUGCAGAAGGGUUGCUCAGCUAUUAACUUCGCCUUAUAAUCUUUAUUUAUUUCAAUUGUGUUGUAAGAAGUAUUUUUUAAACAGUAAAACUUUCUCCA